rnacentral:rRNA from 1 species
AGCGAACGCUAGCGGCGGGCUUAACACAUGCAAGUCGAGCGCGUGGCUUCGGCCACGUGCGGCGAACGGGUGAGUAACACGUAGGUCAUCUGCCCUUUGGUGGGGAAUAACCCGAGGAAACUCGGGCUAAUACCGCAUACUGCCUUCGGGUCAAAGGCUUCGGCCGCCAGAGGAUGAGCCUGCGUCGCAUUACCUAGUUGGUGGGGUAAUGGCCCACCAAGGGGACGAUGCGUAGCUGGUCUGAGAGGAUGAUCAGCCACACUGGGACUGAGGCACGGCCCAGACUCCUACGGGGGGCAGCAGUGGGGAAUAUUGCGCAAUGGGGGAAACCCUGACGCAGCCACGCCGCGUGGGUGAUGAAGGCCUGGUUGUAAAGCCUGUCGGGGGGACGGAAGUACUGACGGUACCCUCCAAGAAAGACACCGGCUAACUCCGUGCCAGCAGCCGCGGUAAAGUGU